rnacentral:rRNA from 1 species
UACAGAGGUCCCAAGCGUUGUUCGGAUUCACUGGGCGUAAAGGGUGCGUAGGUGGUUAGGUAAGUCCGAUGUGGAAUCUCCAGGCUCAACCUGGAAAUGGCAUUGGAUACUAUCUAGCUUGAGGAGUGGAGGGGGGACUGGAAUUCUCGGUGUAGCAGUGAAAUGCGUAGAUAUCGAGAGGAACACCAGUGGCGAAGGCGAGUCCCUGGACACUUCCUGACACUGAGGCACGAAAGCUAGGGGAGCAAACAGG